rnacentral:rRNA from 1 species
UACGGAGGGUGCGAACGUUAAUCGGAAUUACUGGGCGUAAAGCGCACGUAGGCGGUCCGUUAAGUGGGGUGUGAAAGCCCCGGGCUCAACCUGGGAAUUGCAUUCCAAACUGACGGGCUAGAGUACGAUAGAGGGAGGUAGAAUUUCCUGUGUAGCGGUGAAAUGCGUAGAUAUAGGAAGGAAUACCUGUGGCGAAGGCGGCCUCCUGGAUCGAUACUGACGCUGAGGUGCGAAAGCGUGGGGAGCAAACAGG